rnacentral:rRNA from 1 species
UUGAAAUACUAGUUCUCGUAUGAUCACCAAAGUUAAGCAACAUCAGCUUGGUUUGUACCUAGAUGGGUGACCACUUGGGAAUACAAGGUGUUGUAAG